UUUUAUUUGAGAGUUUGAUCCUGGCUCAGGAUGAACGCUGGCGGCGUGCCUAACACAUGCAAGUUGAGCGAUUUACUUCGGUAAAGAGCGGCGGACGGGUGAGUAACGCGUGGGUAACCUACCCUGUACACACGGAUAACAUACCGAAAGGUAUGCUAAUACGGGAUAAUAUAUUUGAGAGGCAUCUCUUGAAUAUCAAAGGUGAGCCAGUACAGGAUGGACCCGCGUCUGAUUAGCUAGUUGGUAAGGUAACGGCUUACCAAGGCGACGAUCAGUAGCCGACCUGAGAGGGUGAUCGGCCACAUUGGAACUGAGACACGGUCCAAACUCCUACGGGAGGCAGCAGUGGGGAAUAUUGCACAAUGGGCGAAAGCCUGAUGCAGCAACGCCGCGUGAGUGAUGAAGGCCUUCGGGUCGUA
rnacentral:rRNA from 1 species